rnacentral:rRNA from 1 species
UUUUCGUGGAUUAGUGGCGAACGGGUGAGUAACACGUGAGUAACCUGCCCCCUUCUUUGGGAUAACUGUCGGAAACGGUGGCUAAUACUGGAUAUUCAGGUCGCACCGCAUGGUGUGGUUUGGAAAGGUUUUUUCUGGUGGGGGAUGGGCUCGCGGCCUAUCAGCUUGUUGGUGGGGUGAUGGCCUACCAAGGCUUUGACGGGUAACCGGCCUGAGAGGGUGACCGGUCACACUGGGACUGAGAUACGGCCCAGACUCCUACGGGAGGCAGCAGUG